GACAGACAGAGAAGGACAAAUAUAGAGAGAAUGGGAGCGUGGUGGGGGUAAAGGAGGGAGAGAAAUUGAGGGAAACAGAGUGGGAGAGACAGAGGGAGUAAGCGGAGGAGAGGAGGCGGGAGGGAAGGGAUACUGCAUUUUAGUGAUGGCACAGACUGAGGCUGCAGCAGCAGACAGAGAACGAUGAGAGAGGUAGAAAUUAAAAGAGAGCAGCAGUGCAUUGUCAGGGAGAGUACGGCAGGAUUCAACGCAGACUGUCACAAAAACAUAUUUGGAGAGCCAGCUGUGAGGGUUAAAGAGAGGAAAAAUGGACCAAACUUGCUACAGGGACUGCGGCGAGUGAAAAAGGCAUUUCACCAGUGGGAAGAGGAGAAACUAAGCCUUCUGUAAUCAAAUGACCUGUCCUUCUGUCUGUCAGCAGGAUGAAAAGGCAUCAUUUCAGCGCCUAGGACCAAAAAAAAUGCUGAACAAAUCCUGAUGGUUGUUAGAGAAGCGAGGCACUAAAAAAAAAAAAAGAACAUUUGCAAGCUUCUGGAAGGAAAAGGGAGGAGAGAGCGGUAUGACUCAGAGCACAGCAGCUCAAAUGCCGCGUAUUCUGCAUGCAAGAGGAGAGGUGGAGGGAGAUAGAGGAACAAUGAGGAAGAUAUAAAG